rnacentral:tRNA from 1 species
GGGGACGUAGCUCUAACUGGGAGAGCGCCUGCCUUGCACGCAGGAGGUUGGCGGUUCGAAUCCGCUCGUCUCCA